GGAGACAGGGGGAUAUGAUAAAAACAUUUAAAUACAUAAAGGGAAUCAACACAGUAAAGGAGGAGACUAUAUUUAAAAGAAGAAAAACUACCACAACAAGAGGACAUUGUCUAUAAUUAGAGGGGAAAAGGUUUAAAAAUAAUUUCAGGAAAUAUUACUGAGAGGUUAGUGGAUGCAUGGAAUAGCUUUCCAGCUGAAGUGGUAGAGGUUAACACAGUGAAGGAGUUUAAGCAUGCGUGGAAUAGGCAUAAGGCUAUCCUAACUACAAGAUAAGGCCAGGGACAAAUGAAAGUAUUUAGAAAAUUGGGCAGACUAGAUGGGCCGAAUGGUUCUUAUCUGCCGUCACAUUCUAUGUUUCUAUGUUUCUAUGAUAUGGGGCAGAUGUAAAGAGGAACAAGGCAGAUGGAAUUGGAAUGAGAUAGGUUGGUUAUUUAAGUCAGUGGGUGUUUGAGAGCAAUUGAGCUAGAUUUGUAGGAGAAAUGGGGUUGAGGAAAGGAGGACGAAAUUAGACUGGCACAGGGGCUGCAGGAAGAAAUUAGACUGAUUUAAUAAUCAUUAAUAUUAAUAAUAAAAACACUACUACUAAUAACAUUAAUAAUAAUGCAAAUAUGCUACACUUACUGACAAAACCUGGCGCGCACUCCGAACAAAUUGGACAGCAUUUUAUUACCCUAUUAUCCUAUUGUGGUCUGAAAGUCAAUACAAAGUAUUGUUGAACACUAAGACAUCUUUUGUGCACUAUGUCACAUAGAUUUGUUAGAUGAUGUAUUGAGCAGUGAAUAGUACACGUAUGUAAAGGGCAGCAUGUGGUUAUAGUACAUGCAAUCAAUACCAAGAUGUAUAUGACAUCCCAGAGGAUGGAUGAGGAAUAUAGCUGUUUUAGUUAGUGGAACAUUGCCUUUGAGUGCAAC